CACCAGACUCCUACGGGAGGCAGCAGUGGGGAAUAUUGCACAAUGGGGGAAACCCUGAUGCAGCGACGCCGCGUGAGCGAUGAAGUAUUUCGGUAUGUAAAGCUCUAUCAGCAGGGAAGAAAAUGACGGUACCUGACUAAGAAGCCCCGGCUAACUACGUGCCAGCAGCCGCGGUAAUACGUAGGGGGCAAGCGUUAUCCGGAUUUACUGGGUGUAAAGGGAGCGUAGACGGCUGUGCAAGCCAGAUGUGAAAGCCCGGGGCUCAACCCCGGGACUGCAUUUGGAACUGUGUGGCUGGAGUGUCGGAGAGGCAGGCGGAAUUCCUAGUGUAGCGGUGAAAUGCGUAGAUAUUAGGAGGAACACCAGUGGCGAAGGCGGCCUGCUGGACGAUGACUGACGUUGAGGCUCGAAAGCGUGGGGAGCAAACAGGAUUAGAUACCCUCGUAAA
rnacentral:rRNA from 1 species